rnacentral:rRNA from 1 species
GACGACGCUGGCGGCGUGCCUAAUACAUGCAAGUCGGACGAGUUGCGAACGGGUGAGUAAUGCGUGGUAACCUACCUAUCAGAGGGGGACAACUACUGGAAACGAUAGCUAAUACCGCAUACUAGUAGAUGGACCUGCGUUGUAUUAGCUAGUAGGUGGGGUAAUGGCCUACCUAGGUAACGAUCCCUAGCUGGACGGGGAGGAGGGCCGGACACACUGAACCUAAGACACGGUCCAGAAUACUACGGAAGGCAGGAGGGGGGAAUAUUGCACAAGGGGCGGAAGCCAGAUGCAGCCAUGCCGGGUGUAUGAAGAAGGCCUUCGGGUUGUAAGGUACUUUCAGCGGGGAGGCGUUACUCGCGGAAAAAGCACCGGCUAACUCCGUGCCAGCGGCCGCGUAAUAC